UACGGAGGGUGCAAGCGUUAUCCGGAUUCACUGGGUUUAAAGGGUGCGUAGGCGGGCAGGUAAGUCCGUGGUGAAAUCUCUGAGCUUAACUCAGAAACUGCCAUGGAUACUAUUUGUCUUGAAUAUUGUGGAGGUAAGCGGAAUAUGUCAUGUAGCGGUGAAAUGCUUAGAUAUGACAUAGAACACCAAUUGCGAAGGCAGCUCACUACACAAUGAUUGACGCUGAGGCACGAAAGCGUGGGGAUCAAACAGG
rnacentral:rRNA from 1 species